AGAGUUUGAUCCUGGCUCAGGAUGAACGCUAGCUACAGGCUUAACACAUGCAAGUCGAGGGGCAGCAUUAUCUUAGCUUGCUAAGAUAGAUGGCGACCGGCGCACGGGUGAGUAACACGUAUCCAACCUUCCGGUUACUCGGGGAUAGGCUUUCGAAAGAAAGAUUAAUACCCGAUGUUGCGUAUCUUUCUCCUGAAAGAUACGCCAAAGGAUUCCGGUAACCGAUGGGGAUGCGUUCCAUUAGGCAGUUGGCGGGGUAACGGCCCACCAAACCUUCGAUGGAUAGGGGUUCUGAGAGGAAGGUCCCCCACAUUGGAACUGAGACACGGUCCAAACUCCUACGGGAGGCAGCAGUGAGGAAUAUUGGUCAAUGGACGCAAGUCUGAACCAGCCAAGUAGCGUGAAGGAUGACUGCCCUCUGGGUUGUAAACUUCUUUUAUACGGGAAUAACAUGAGGUACGCGUACCUUAUUGCAUGUACCGUUAUGAAUAAGCAUCGGCUAACUCCGUGCCAGCAGCCGCGGUAAUACGGAGGAUGCGAGCGUUAUCCGGAUUUAUUGGGUUUAAAGGGAGCGUAGGUGGGAUAUUAAGUCAGCUGUGAAAGUUUGGGGCUCAACCUUAAAAUUGCAGUUGAUACUGGUCUCCUUGAGUACGGUACAGGUGGGCGGAAUUCGUGGUGUAGCGGUGAAAUGCUUAGAUAUCACGAAGAACUCCGAUCGCGAAGGCAGCUCACCGGGCCGGAACUGACACUGAUGCUCGAAAGUGCGGGUAUCAAACAGGAUUAGAUACCCUGGUAGUCCGCACAGUAAACGAUGAAUACUCGCUGUUUGCGAUACACUGUAAGCGGCCAAGCGAAAGCGUUAAGUAUUCCACCUGGGGAGUACGCCGGCAACGGUGAAACUCAAAGGAAUUGACGG
rnacentral:rRNA from 1 species